CCCAACUCUUCUUUCUUUCCUCGCCGCUACCCAUUUUCAUUUCUUUUCCCCCAACUCGGCUCUCCCGAGUCGUUCACCAUGAACUCAGCUAUCUCCGAGCGAGUCGAACUCGCCAAACUCUGCAGCUCUCGUGACUGGUCCAAGGCAAUACGAGUCCUGGACUCGCUCCUCUCUCAGUCUUGCGCAAUCCAAGACAUCUGCAAUAGAGCGUUUUGUUAUAGUCAAUUGGAGCUUCACAAGCACGUGGUUAAAGACUGUGAUAAGGCGCUUCAGCUUGACCCUACGGUUCUUCAAGCUUAUAUCCUUAAAGGCCGUGCAUUUUCUGCACUGGGAAGGAAAGAGGAUGCUAUUGCUGUUUGGGAGAGAGGGUAUGAACAUGCUUUACGACAGUCUGCUGAUCUGAAGCAAUUGCUGGAACUGGAAGAGCUUUUGACAGUAGCGAAACCAGGCAAACAAGACAUAAGUUUCAUUAGUGACAACCAUGUGGCUGACUCUAAGUUAUCUACCCCUGUGUCCUUAUCAACACCUUAUGUUGAUGGGAAAUUAAAUGAAACUCUCAAGUACCAAAACGAAUACAAUACCUCUAGAUUAUUCCAAGAGCGUAGGGAUGUAUCGAAGUUCUGCAACAUGUCUAAUGACAAAAUUGACCCACGCAAUAGAACUAAUGAUGAAGAGAGGAGUCAGUCAUCAUUGUCUUCAUCUGAGUUAGCAUCUGACACCAAUGAAAAAUCACGUGAAAGUUUCAAAAAUCUCACUGUGUUAAGUGAUGGAUCUAAGUUAAGUGUGGAAUCUGCUGAUGCUUCUGAGAACAGCAGCAUCUGUGGUGAUAAUUGUAAUGGAGGAUUAAGUGAUCUGACCAGUACAAAUCAGAUGCCUCAUGGCCUUACAAAUGGAACUCAUAAUAAUUUUGACACACCAAGUAAUUCUUCUGAUUCAGGUACUGCUCUAAGUGAGAAAUCAGAACCGUGCAGUAAAUCCUCUGCCAUUUCCAGUAACUCAAGUGAUAUAACUGAAGGUCACUGCUUGCCAAAUAACUCCUCUGGCUCACAUAAUGAAAUCAGUGAUGAAGCCAAGAGGAGUAAGAAGUUCUGUGUUGCUAAGAUUUCAAAGACCAAGUCAAUCAGUGUAGAUUUUCGCUUAUCAAGGGGGAUUGCUCAGGUUAACGAAGGAAAUUAUGCUUAUGCCAUAUCUAUAUUUGACCAGAUACUGAAAGAGGAUCCAACAUAUCCUGAGGCACUAAUAGGAAGAGGAACUGCAUAUGCAUUCCAACGAGAGCUUGAAGCUGCUAUUGGUGAUUUUACUAAGGCUAUUCAAUCAAAACCAUCGGCUGGUGAGGCUUGGAAAAGGAGAGGCCAAGCUCGGGCUGCCUUAGGAGAAUCUAUUGAGGCAAUUGAAGACCUGACCAAAGCAUUGGAGUUCGAUCCGGAUUCAGCUGAUAUAUUACAUGAAAGAGGAAUAGUGAAUUUCAAGUUCAAGGAUUUUGAUGCUGCUGUUGAAGAUCUGUCUGCUUGUGUGAAGCUUGAUAAGACUAACAAGUCUGCAUAUACAUAUUUGGGAAUGGCAUUAUCUUCAAUCGGUGAACAUAAAAGGGCAGAGGAUGCACAUUUGAAAUCAAUCCAACUUGACCGAAGUUUUGUUGAGGCCUGGGCUCAUCUUACCCAGUUCUAUCAAGAUCUAGCAAACUCUAAAAAGGCUUUUGAUUGCCUUCAACAAGUUAUACAAAUUGAUCCAAGGUAUGCUAAAGCAUAUCACUUACGUGGGUUACUACUUCAUGGGAUGGGGGAGCACAGGAAGGCUAUUAAGGAUUUAUCAGUUGGAUUGAGCAUUGAAAACUCGAAUAUUGAGUGCUUAUACUUACGAGCUUCAUGCUAUCAUGCUAUUGGAGAAUAUGCAGAUGCGGUCAAGGACUAUGAUGCUGCCCUAGAUGUUGAACUUGACUCGAUGGAAAAGUUUGUGCUUCAAUGUUUGGCCUUCUAUCAGAAAGAGAUUGCUUUAUAUACAGCUUCCAAAGUCAACAGUGAGUUUUCUUGGUUUGAUAUUGAUGGAGAUAUAGAUCCACUGUUCAAGGAGUACUGGUGCAAAAGAUUGCACCCCAAGAAUGUAUGUGAGAAGGUUUUCAGACAGCCUCCAUUGCGUGAUUCUCUGAAGAAGGGAAAGCUUAGAAAGCAAGAUAUUGCUAUUACAAAGCAUAAGACUGCUCUUCUACUAGCUGCUGACCUAAUUGGCAAGAAAAUCCAAUAUGACUGUCCUGGUUUCUUACCCAAUAGGCGCCAGCACCGUAUGGCUGGAUUAGCGGCCAUUGAAAUUGCACAGAAGGUGUCAAAAACAUGGCGUUCUUUGCAAGUGGAUUGGAAGCAUUCUAAUAGAAGCUCAAAAAGUGGUAAGAGGCACCGAAGAAAGGAAAGAAUCAGUUUGGCUAGCCAGAACAGAGGUGGUGCUGGUUGUAGUACAAGCAGUUCCUCAGAAACACCAGCUUCAUAUGGCAGUGGGGAAGACAGAUCUUCUAGUCGCCCUAUGAUGUCAUGGCAAGAUGUUUAUUCUUUGGCUGUCAAAUGGAGACAAAUUUCUGAGCCUUGUGAUCCAGUUGUGUGGGUUAACAAGUUGAGUGAAGAGUUCAACUCUGGGUUUGGUUCUCACACUCCAAUGGUCCUUGGAGAAGCAAAAGUUGUCCGCUAUUUCCCAAAUUAUGAAAGAACAUUAGAUAUAGCAAAGAUGAUAAUGAGGGAUAAACUUUUUGUGCACAAUAAGUCUGAUGAACCUAUUGAUCUAUCCAAAGAGGGGAAGUUGGAAAAUAUUGAGCAUGCCAAAUCUUGUGAUGAUCUUUACGAACUUGUGGGUGAGGAUUUCUGGUUGGCUACCUGGUGCAACAGCACAGCUUUUGAGGGGAAGCAGCUUGAAGGGACUAGAAUUACCUUGGUGAAAAUGGCACAACAGCCUGGAUAUGACUUUGCAAUCAGAACACCUUGCACACCUUCCAGAUGGGAGGAAUUUGAUGCUGAAAUGACAAUGGCAUGGGAAGCCAUUUGCAAUGCUUAUUGCGGAGAAACUUAUGGGUCCACUGAUUUCAAUGCCCUCGAAAGUGUGAGAGAAGCUAUUUUAAGACUGACAUAUUACUGGUACAAUUUUAUGCCACUCACAAGGGGCACUGCAGUGGUUGGCUUUGUUGUUUUGAUUGGAUUGUUUCUAGCUGCUAAUAUGGAGUUCACGGGCAACAUUCCGAAAGGUGUGCAGGUUGAUUGGGAAGCCAUUCUCAACUUCGAUCCUAACUCCUUCACGGAUUCCGUUAAGAGUUGGCUGUAUCCAUCCCUAAAGAUUUCGUCAUCGUGGAAAGAUUUUCCUGAUGUAACCUCAACUUUUGCAACAACGGGAUCAGUUGUUGCCGCUCUCAGCUCAUAUGAUGAUUGAAUUAUUCUUCUUAACGUAAACAGGUAGGUAACACACCAUGGCUACCAUUGUCCUGUUAUAUGUAUAUAAAUUCAUCUCAUGUUGAAUUACUGCCAGCGCAAAUGUAAUAUCUGCAGUUGCUAUUUUAUUGGAGUGGAUUUUUUUCCCUGCAUGUCGUGGUCGGCUGUGAUCAGUUCGAAGGCCAGAUUUCUUUGUUUUCUACACUGUCUUGAGCUGUUGUAAACUCAACCAUGUGUUGUAUAUUUGAUGUGUUGUACAGCAUUAUAUAAUAAUGCAAUUAUCCAGUUCUUUUGAUCAAACAAACUUGGCUUUUCUUACAUGUUGGAUAGGCAUAUUUAUGAAACAAAAAUUGGUUCGAAACAA